AGUGAACGCUGGCGGUAGGCCUAACACAUGCAAGUCGAACGGCAGCACAGUAAGAGCUUGCUCUUACGGGUGGCGAGUGGCGGACGGGUGAGGAAUACAUCGGAAUCUACUUUUUCGUGGGGGAUAACGUAGGGAAACUUACGCUAAUACCGCAUACGACCUACGGGUGAAAGCAGGGGAUCUUCGGACCUUGCGCGAUUGAAUGAGCCGAUGUCGGAUUAGCUAGUUGGCGGGGUAAAGGCCCACCAAGGCGACGAUCCGUAGCUGGUCUGAGAGGAUGAUCAGCCACACUGGAACUGAGACACGGUCCAGACUCCUACGGGAGGCAGCAGUGGGGAAUAUUGGACAAUGGGCGCAAGCCUGAUGCAGCCAUACCGCGUGGGUGAAGAAGGCCUUCGGGUUGUAAAGCCCUUUUGUUAGGAAAGAAAAGCAGUAGGUUUAAACCCGGCUGUUCUGACGGUACCCAAAGAAUAAGCACCGGCUAACUUCGUG
rnacentral:rRNA from 1 species